rnacentral:lncRNA from 1 species
GGAGCGAUUUUCGGACCUCACUGACGACUCGAUAGUGAUUAAUGUCCAGGCCAUUGAACUGUCUGGCCCCAGAUGAUUUGAGUCUGUCGUUGGUUCUGGAGUUUGUUGAGAAUGUAGAAUUGUGAGAGGAAAAUAUAGUUUAAAAAGUUAUAAGUGGCGGGAAAAGUCCUAAAAUGCCAAUCGUAAUUUUAUUUUGCAUAACAUAUAGGUGCAGGCUUUGAUGGUAUCUGUUUAAUGUACAGAUCUGUAUUCCAGGAAUUAAAUUGAAUUAAAUUAAAUAGAGUUAUUCAAAUUUGUAUCUUUAUUUUUCUUGACUUCAAUAGAUAAUGUAACGAAAACAAUAGUAGUAUUUAUUCUUUUUGAACUGAGGUGCAUGCUAGCGAAAUAAAUAUUUGUGAAUACAAAUCUGGAACAAAAUCGAGGAAAUGAAUUUUUGCCCCCGGAUAUGCAUUUGAAACUGUAUGUAGCUUUAUUGUGGUCUCGCAUAUCUGCAUUCUGCAGUGAUGAGCCCAACACAAAAUGGACUCUCAUUUGAGCUUAUCAUUUUGUUUUUGUACUCGGGCCUAUUGUACAAAGUAAGAGGCUCCAAGCCUCUUUGUCAUUUAUUAAGGCUCCAAAGUCCAAGCCUCUUUGCAGGAUUAACAGUAAAAUCCUAAAAGUUAUUAUGUCGAUUAUUUUUUAAAUCUGAUUAAUUAUAUAUUAUUUUUAAAAAAAUUAGUAUAAUAAAUUUUAAUAAAUUAAAUAUUAUUAUAUUAUUUUAAUAUAUCCAAUUAAUCAUUCAAAUUAAUUUCAAUUCCCGAUUACUUGAUAUCUCCACCGAUUAAUUCCGAUUUUCGCUUUUAGACGUACUACCUUCGUCUCAUUAAAUUGUAUACAUGACUUUUUAGUACUAUUUUUAAGACUUCUUUAAAAUAGAAUUUAAUAAUAUUUUUUAAAAAAUUCUUUUUUCUGAAUAAAAGUCUAACUUUUAAUAAUAAUAAUAAUAAUAAUAAUAAUAAUAUUAUGAAACAAUAUUUGAUAAAAGUCUCGAAACGAGACUCUUUAAAUCCAGACACUGAUAGCUGACAGUCUGAAACAUGCCAGAAUUUGUCUUGUACAUUACACCGGGAAGUUUAGAACAUGCUCGAAACCAGCUUAGAGAGUUUGGUCUGACAUGAGAUUCUGAAACAAUGCAGGUAAAAAAGAUUCAUCAAGAAAAGAAGCUAGAUAUACUAGUUGACAAGGAUUUGAAGAACAAUUACGACUUAAUCGAGCUAGAAGAAAUAGUGCAAGUGGCUCUCUUGUGCACUCAGUACUUGCCAGGCCACAGGCCGAAAAUGUCUGAAGUGGUACGAAUGCUUGAAGGUGAUGGACUAGUAGAAAGAUGGGAAACAUCCCAGAAAGUGGACUCAAGCAAAUACAGAACACAAGAACUGUCCUCAUCGGAGCGAUUUUCGGACCUCACCGACGACUCGAUAGUGAUUAAUGUCCAGGCCAUUGAACUGUCUGGCCCUAGAUGAUUUGAGUCUGUUGUUGGUUCAGGAGUUUGCUGGGAAUGUAGAAUUGUGAGAGGAAAAUAUAGUUUAAAAAGUUAUAAGUGGCGGGAAAAGUCCUAAAAUGCCAAUCGUAAUUUUAUAUAGGUGCAGGCUUUGAUGGUAUCUGUUUAAUGUACAGAUUUGUAUUCCAGG